rnacentral:rRNA from 1 species
GGGUUGUGAGGUUAAGCGACUAAGCGUACACGGUGGAUGCCCUGGCAGUCAGAGGCGAUGAAGGACGUGCUAAUCUGCGAUAAGCGUCGGUAAGGUGAUAUGAACCGUUAUAACCGGCGAUUUCCGAAUGGGGAAACCCAGUGUGAUUCGUCACACUAUCAUUAACUGAAUCCAUAGGUUAAUGAGGCGAACCGGGGGAACUGAAACAUCUAAGUACCCCGAGGAAAAGAAAUCAACCGAGAUUCCCCCAGUAGCGGCGAGCGAACGGGGAGCAGCCCAGAGCCUGAAUCAGUGUGUGUGUUAGUGGAAGCGUCUGGAAAGGCGCGCGAUACAGGGUGACAGCCCCGUACACAAAAAUACACAUACUGUGAGCUCGAUGAGUAGGGCGGGACACGUGGUAUCCUGUCUGAAUAUGGGGGGACCAUCCUCCAAGGCUAAAUACUCCUGACUGACCGAUAGUGAACCAGUACCGUGAGGGAAAGGCGAAAAGAACCCCGGCGAGGGGAGUGAAAAAGAACCUGAAACCGUGUACGUACAAGCAGUGGGAGCACAGAGCAAUCUGUGUGACUGCGUACCUUUUGUAUAAUGGGUCAGCGACUUAUAUUCUGUAGCAAGGUUAACCGAAUAGGGGAGCCGAAGGGAAACCGAGUCUUAACUGGGCGUUAAGUUGCAGGGUAUAGACCCGAAACCCGGUGAUCUAGCCAUGGGCAGGUUGAAGGUUGGGUAACACUAACUGGAGGACCGAACCGACUAAUGUUGAAAAAUUAGCGGAUGACUUGUGGCUGGGGGUGAAAGGCCAAUCAAACCGGGAGAUAGCUGGUUCUCCCCGAAAGCUAUUUAGGUAGCGCCUCGUGAAUUCAUCUCCGGGGGUAGAGCACUGUUUCGGCAAGGGGGUCAUCCCGACUUACCAACCCGAUGCAAACUGCGAAUACCGGAGAAUGUUAUCACGGGAGACACACGGCGGGUGCUAACGUCCGUCGUGAAGAGGGAAACAACCCAGACCGCCAGCUAAGGUCCCAAAGUCAUGGUUAAGUGGGAAACGAUGUGGGAAGGCCCAGACAGCCAGGAUGUUGGCUUAGAAGCAGCCAUCAUUUAAAGAAAGCGUAAUAGCUCACUGGUCGAGUCGGCCUGCGCGGAAGAUGUAACGGGGCUAAACCAUGCACCGAAGCUGCGGCAGCGACGCUUAUGCGUUGUUGGGUAGGGGAGCGUUCUGUAAGCCUGCGAAGGUGUGCUGUGAGGUAUGCUGGAGGUAUCAGAAGUGCGAAUGCUGACAUAAGUAACGAUAAAGCGGGUGAAAAGCCCGCUCGCCGGAAGACCAAGGGUUCCUGUCCAACGUUAAUCGGGGCAGGGUGAGUCGACCCCUAAGGCGAGGCCGAAAGGCGUAGUCGAUGGGAAACAGGUUAAUAUUCCUGUACUUGGUGUUACUGCGAAGGGGGGACGGAGAAGGCUAUGUUGGCCGGGCGACGGUUGUCCCGGUUUAAGCGUGUAGGCUGGUUUUCCAGGCAAAUCCGGAAAAUCAAGGCUGAGGCGUGAUGACGAGGCACUACGGUGCUGAAGCAACAAAUGCCCUGCUUCCAGGAAAAGCCUCUAAGCAUCAGGUAACAUCAAAUCGUACCCCAAACCGACACAGGUGGUCAGGUAGAGAAUACCAAGGCGCUUGAGAGAACUCGGGUGAAGGAACUAGGCAAAAUGGUGCCGUAACUUCGGGAGAAGGCACGCUGAUAUGUAGGUGAAGUCCCUCGCGGAUGGAGCUGAAAUCAGUCGAAGAUACCAGCUGGCUGCAACUGUUUAUUAAAAACACAGCACUGUGCAAACACGAAAGUGGACGUAUACGGUGUGACGCCUGCCCGGUGCCGGAAGGUUAAUUGAUGGGGUUAGCGCAAGCGAAGCUCUUGAUCGAAGCCCCGGUAAACGGCGGCCGUAACUAUAACGGUCCUAAGGUAGCGAAAUUCCUUGUCGGGUAAGUUCCGACCUGCACGAAUGGCGUAAUGAUGGCCAGGCUGUCUCCACCCGAGACUCAGUGAAAUUGAACUCGCUGUGAAGAUGCAGUGUACCCGCGGCAAGACGGAAAGACCCCGUGAACCUUUACUAUAGCUUGACACUGAACAUUGAGCCUUGAUGUGUAGGAUAGGUGGGAGGCUUUGAAGUGUGGACGCCAGUCUGCAUGGAGCCGACCUUGAAAUACCACCCUUUAAUGUUUGAUGUUCUAACGUUGACCCGUAAUCCGGGUUGCGGACAGUGUCUGGUGGGUAGUUUGACUGGGGCGGUCUCCUCCUAAAGAGUAACGGAGGAGCACGAAGGUUGGCUAAUCCUGGUCGGACAUCAGGAGGUUAGUGCAAUGGCAUAAGCCAGCUUGACUGCGAGCGUGACGGCGCGAGCAGGUGCGAAAGCAGGUCAUAGUGAUCCGGUGGUUCUGAAUGGAAGGGCCAUCGCUCAACGGAUAAAAGGUACUCCGGGGAUAACAGGCUGAUACCGCCCAAGAGUUCAUAUCGACGGCGGUGUUUGGCACCUCGAUGUCGGCUCAUCACAUCCUGGGGCUGAAGUAGGUCCCAAGGGUAUGGCUGUUCGCCAUUUAAAGUGGUACGCGAGCUGGGUUUAGAACGUCGUGAGACAGUUCGGUCCCUAUCUGCCGUGGGCGCUGGAGAACUGAGGGGGGCUGCUCCUAGUACGAGAGGACCGGAGUGGACGCAUCACUGGUGUUCGGGUUGUCAUGCCAAUGGCACUGCCCGGUAGCUAAAUGCGGAAGAGAUAAGUGCUGAAAGCAUCUAAGCACGAAACUUGCCCCGAGAUGAGUUCUCCCUGACUCCUUGAGAGUCCUGAAGGAACGUUGAAGACGACGACGUUGAUAGGCCGGGUGUGUAAGCGCAGCGAUGCGUUGAGCUAACCGGUACUAAUGAACCGUGAGGCUUAACCUUACAACGCCGAAGGUGUUU